GGGGGACUGUGUGCAAAUCUGGUUGGGAUUCGACAGAACCCCAGGCGGCUGGACUUAUACACAUCCUCCUGAAUCAUAACCAUCGGUCAGGGUUCCCUGGAAAAAUCUGGAUGUCUAACAGGAACACUCAGAACCGAUGCGGCUUCUCCACGGCUGAGGCCGCCUGCUCUGCGUCGGCGUUGUUGUAAAGGAUCACUGUUGCUGGAAGGUGCUGGACGGUCCUGGCCUCUUUGGAGCCCUGCAGCGGCGGGAAUCCGGUCCGAGGAUUAAGGCAGCGCAGCGGUCUUGCGAUGGGCGGUCAGGACCACCGCCGGGCUGGCUGUUGACCUUGGACUCUGUCUAUGCCCCAUCCGGAGUGGGUCCUCAGGAAGCCCUUUGCCUCUCCUGGCUCUCGGUCCUUGGAAGCCCCUCUCUCUCCCCGAGGGCACCCCCCACUCCCCUGUCUGGUCUGCUCAGAGUCUCC
rnacentral:lncRNA from 1 species